rnacentral:lncRNA from 1 species
UCCAUAGGCCGAUAAACCCUACCCGUCCUACUAACGAGAGGUGGACUACAGGGGACCAACGUAACUGUCACCUACGCGGCCUACCACACGAUCCAGUUAGUCAGGGGAUAUCCACAAGUAAUCUAGGUCUAAGCACCACGCUUACACCUAUACUACAACUCUAACCUAUAGGGUCCUAUAGAUUAGAAGUACUCAAAAGAGUUGUGAACCAGAACAUACAUGAUUAGUAAUUGCAUAAUGAAUUAGAAGUAGAUUACCAGAGUCAUCCCAUGAGCAAGCUUGAUUAGAGCUUGAUCAUGGCGAAGUACAACCGGAGGAAGAACCGACAGGCCGGCCUCUCCUCUAAUCCUCCUUCGCUCUCCAUCUCGCUACUAUCUAGAUCUACUCUAGUUUAGAGAAGACAGGAGAGCUCUCAUCUCUAAACCCUAGCUUUUGCUCUGUCUAUGAAUAAUGAAUAAUGAUCAAGGGGUGCCUCCUCCAGGGGCCAGGGGGUCUGGUUUUAUAGUCCCCUCAAGUGAACCUGGGCCGUCAGAUCAAACCGACAUUGAUUGAACGGUUAUUCUUGAUCCUUUAGGUCGGUGGAGCAUAAUCUGUGAGAUUGAGCGUGAUUGGCCGAAAAAGGUGGGCGGGCGCCCUGUCCCUGACUCCGUUCGGACUCCGCUUCCUUCCCGUGGCUUCUGGAGUCUUCUAGAUGUAAGAUAAUUGUGUGGCACGUUAAUAUCUCUAUGUAAUCCCGACGUGUGGGCCUUUCUUCCGUAUUUCCUGAUAACCCCCUGCAGAAAUAGACAAACACCAAAACUCAUGGAAUUCUGUCAGAUAAAACCCUAAGUCUCGAUGUUGAUUUCAUUUGGAUCCUUUUCUUUGUUUAUUUGAUAAUUAAAUUUGAUACUUAAGGACCGUCAACAAACUCCCCCAAGCUUACCUCUUGCUCGUCCCUAAGCAAGGAUAGACUCAGCAAUGGAUCAGAAGUUGUUGCAAUAUCUUAAAAAUUUGACGGUACACAUGCUUUUUAAAUAAGUUCUCAUCUCUAAGUUAGAGUAAACUAUCAAGAACUAAAACUUACUUACUUUACCUUUCACCAUGGGACUUGUAACCGUCACUUCUGUCUUGAGUAGUUAAAAGAUAGAACAGUCUAGCCAAGUGCCAUGUCUCUUAUUCUUGAUCAGCUAUAGCUCUGGAGUUUUUGCAGAUUUUCAAAUAAAACUCAAAGAUUCCUUGUAUGACUCUCUCAUAUCUCUCUUUUGUGGUAUUUCUAGAUCCUUACCAAGGCAGUGAUGGUACAUGCCUUCUCUCAAAAUAUGUGGUAUUUGUGGUAUAAGGCAUAGUGACAUUGCCUUCUCUCUCACCCUACUCUAAUAAGGCUUUAAUAUCUGGAGCCCAUAGGUGGGAGAUAAAGUAUACAUACUUACAAGACAUGUAUUGCAUAGUCAAACCAUGGAUCCAAAGAAACAAAUCAAUAAGCCAAAUCAAGAUGUGCAUGUGUGGCGAAUGAAUAGUGUAUGGUGAUGAUGGUGAUAACAAUGGUGAAAGUCUAAUUCUACUUUUGCUCUUUUGAGGGGAUACGUACCUUCCUUGCUUUUUGAAACUUUAUGAGGAGAAUGAGAUGCUCUUCUUUUUCUUUUCUCUCAAAUGGGUAUCCUGUACCCCUAAUUCUACUGUCGGACACUUGUCCAUUUUUACCUCUCGUCUCACACUUUCUCUUUUCUUUCGAGGUUCCGGGCACUUGCCCCUUUUUAUUUCCUCGUUUAUUUUUUUUUUCUUUUCUUUUUUUUUAUUAGAGCACUCAUCUCUUGAGAUAAUAUAGCAAGUGGUAGUAGCAAGAUAACUUGAGCAUUUAUUUCACAAGGGAAAAACACAGAUGUUUUUGGCUAUUCUCUCCCGAAUUAGGAGUAGAAUAUUUUUAGGUGAUUCUGGAGAUGGAAAUGGAUGGAUAUAUGUGGAUGGUACUUCCGGAGUAGAAGUAGCAUAUAUAUGAGUGAACGUGCAAGUGAAUCUUGAUUUAACCACAUGACAAGCUCCUAAGGGUCUACACAGCUUGACCACACUCAAUGCUCAUAAGCAGUAAAUAAAUGUGUGGCUCAAAGUCUAGCAAGCAUGUAUAUAUGGCUGUGGUAGGAAUUUAAACUUUCAUUAUACAGGAACUCAUCAUGCAACAUUUUAAAGAUUUUCAAAGAUAAAAUUCUCCAAAAUUCUAGCAUCUCUAGGAACAGAUAAACAGCAGCUCAACCUUCCCAUAUCUUAUCCGUUAACAACUUAGAUUUAGAUUUCAGAUCAAGUUUUUAUCCCACAAGUUUAGAUCUAGAGCAAGCUUUAAAUUAUAACAGUUAUGUCUAAACUUGAGAGAGAACUUUAAAUUUGCAAAUUAGGCAGAGCAACUAUUCAUCAUAUCCAUGCUAGAGUUUUAUUAUUAAGAUUCAUAGCAAACUUUAUUUAUUUAUUUAUUUAUUUAGGAAACUAAGAAAAGAUAUAUAUAUAUAAGCAUAAAAUCUUUAUUUGGUUUUUCAUAGUUUAUGUAUUUUAAUAUUCUAAUAUAAUAUAAGUAUAAAGAUAGGUAGAAAUACUUAGCGAGAUAAAUAGGGGUGCUCUCCCCCAAGCUGAAUUUUAACGUAAUUUCUCUUGAUGUAGCUAGCAGGUGGCAGAGGUGUAUUUGAAAGUCAGCAGCAUUCUGACAGCUAUUAGAAUGUCCUCCGUCUGCUAGUCUUCUUGAUUCUUAAAUUCUGUGGACUUCAAAUAGACAACAAAGCUUGUGGAACUAAUUAAGUGUUAGCAUAAAUAUCUAGCCUUCGUCACAUUGAGCUUCCUCAAUAAAUAUUACUCCCUGUUUUUAUAUUUUUAUUUUAUAAAGUAGAAAAGAAAUAUUUGUUUUAUUUUUAUGCCACCACAGUGAAGGUACUUAUGGGUUUUAUGCCACUCGUAUACUCACAUGGGGCUUAGUAUUUUUUUAACAUUUUUAUUUUCUUUUCAAGAUAGCAUGAUUAACUAAUAAUCUAUUUAAGGAAAGUAAAUAAUUAAAUGGAAAAGGGAAUGCAGAAAGGAUAAAUAUGGAUAACUACCAAUCUUACCUUUCGGCGAGGGUUCAAUGUUUUAAGUCUUCUUGUCAAGACUUCUCAUCGUGUUCAUUCUUCAGGUGCGUCAUUUGAUUCAGGUGCGGACCUUGACGUCUGCACCUUUUAAUACGGUGUCACCCAUGUUCUUCGUUUGCCCAGCAGUUCGAAGUGCGGUGUUAGCAGUAUCUUGCUCAGUGUGUUUGUGCUCGUAGUGUACCUGCUCAUAAAGACAAGGCAGAGAUCAAGUGCAUGGGCCCUGUUGGUGGAAAACACCAACAGAACCAAAAGUGUAUUUGUUCUUCUCUAACCUUAAGCAUAGUGAGCAAGACAAGUUGAUGGAUGAUAAGUUCAUGAGUGUAGCACUUAUAACAUUUGUCAGAUCAGAUCGCUCAACCUUAUGGAAAGAUAAUCUAUCUAUGUAUAUGUCUUUUUCUUUAUAUCUCUCAAUGAUUGAAUGUGUAACAUUUUAGCUCAUAUGAUUAGGAGUG